UCCCAGGUGGUAUAGUGGUAAAAAAUCUGCCUGCAAUGCAGGAGACACAGGAGACCUGGGUUCAAUCCCUGGGUUGGGAG
rnacentral:tRNA from 1 species